GGUGUGAGUCUCCAGCCCAGAAGAAGGCUCAAAGUGUCCUAGGACACUUGUUUUGUAUUCCCAGCAGUCCUACCCAACAGAUAGUCUCAUCAAGUUUGGUCCUUGUUUCCUGGCUCAAGAAGAUUCUUAAUCAGGACAAAUAUGGAUCACCUUCUGGAUCUGGAGUGGGACAUUAUCAGGCCUUUAGGUUUGAAUGCAGCUGAUCCAUCCAAGGAUCUAGUCUAGGUGUACUACACAGCUUACCUUUCCCAGCUCUGGGCCUCCCCUGUCCACUGAGGCUGUCCAUUGGGUCCUCCUGAAGAGAAAGACUUCCUGUCACAGAUCAGUCAUCUUUGAUCAGCAAGGUGCUGGCAACACGAAUUUCCUUGGGCAGCCACCGGAAGUAGCCAUGCAUCAUACGAUGGCCCCUGUGGGACUCUAUUUUGCCUGUGCUUGAAAAUGAAGAGAAGAUGCAGAGAAGACUGUGUCUGAUGAGGCCCUUAGUCACACAUGGUCUCAACCUAGAGGGUAAUACAUUGCAUCAUCAUCUAUCUAAGACUGUGGGACUAUAUAUAUAUAUACUCUCUAUUUUAUAUAUGCAACCUUGGCUGCAACUCACUAUUAUUUUAACAACUCAAGAAAGCUGAAGCUCAAUUAUUUUUGUUGUAGUACAGCGUGAUAGUAACGUUACUACUACCGGUAGAAGGGAGAAGAGGACUGCGCAGGUGUUGGAGGAGGAGCAGCAGUGAAAGGAGAUUAGAGACAUAUUCAUGGCUCCAACUGAUUCCGAAUCCUACGAGGGUUUCUCAGACUGUGAAAUGGGGGAAGGAGAGGAAAGCAGGGGAGUUAAGCGGGCUACUCGUGAACAAGAAUCUGAUGAGGAGAUCCAAAGGAAGCGUAUCCGUGAUAUACUUAGUGCUCCAAAAGAAGAUGAAGAUUUUAUGGGUUUUUAAAGGAGUGAUGGGACUGGGAGUGACAUUGAGGAGGAGGAUGAUCUAGACUGGACCUGUGUACAGGAAAUUAGGGACAUCUGUACUCAGCCUUCCUCCAGUGAUGACUUUGAGGGGUUUGCAGAAGAGUGGCAAUUUGGGAACACUUGGGAGGACCUAAGUCUUGACAGACGCUGGCAAAGAGGAGAGAUGGAAGGCAGUGCUCGGCUGCAGGGAAUGGGGCAGCUGAAAGUGAUGAUGAAAGGGUGGGGAGCAGUUCAUCCUCUGAUGAGGAGUUAUAGGAUAUACGUUGGUUUGGUUUCAAUGGGUCUUUGCAGAAGGCAAAGUGUCUUUUCGGGUGUGAAUCUUUGUUACUGCCAUUACUCUCAAGCUUGGGUCCUUGGACUACAGAUCUUUGUGUUUCCGUGACUUCUGGUUGAUACUCCGUAAGUGCUGACUUCAACUCUCCCUUUUGAUUCCGGACCGUGUUUUGACAAUGACUACGUUUUUUUGGACUGCUUCUUCUUACCUUGGACAUGCCUGGACUAUGGACUGUUUUUGGACUAUGGACUGUUUUUGGACUCUGAUUUUGCUUGCUCCCACCUUGUUUUUCUGUGCCUUUUGGACCUUUUGAAUUACAAGCAGAUUGCUGUAUAUUUUUGUUAUCCCAGAUUAUACUUCGGGAUAAUCCGGAUUAUAUUUAAAUUGGGUUUUUUACUUAGCGGUUGCUAUAGACUUUCAGUUUGUGCUAGAGACACUGAAGCAAGUGUCUCUAAGCCUUUUUUGUGUUUAAUAAACCCGUGUUUGAACCUUU